AUUGAACGCUGGCGGCAGGCCUAACACAUGCAAGUCGAGCGAGCGGCGGACGGGUGAGUAAUGUAUGGGGAACUGCCUGAUAGAGGGGGAUAACUACUGGAAACGGUAGCUAAUACCGCAUACUAUCGGAUGAACCCAGAUGGGAUUAGCUAGUAGGUGGGGUAACGGCUCACCUAGGCGACGAUCCCUAGCUGGUCUGAGAGGAUGACCAGCCACCCUGGAACUGAGACACGGCCCAGACUCCUACGGGAGGCAGCAGUGGGGAAUAUUGCACAAUGGGCGCAAGCCUGAUGCAGCCAUGCCGCGUGUAUGAAGAAGGCCUUAGGGUUGUAAAGUACUUUCAGCGGGGAGGCGUUACCCGCAGAAGAAGCACCGGCUAACUCCGUGCCAGCAGCCGCGGUAAUAC
rnacentral:rRNA from 1 species